GUGAGUAUAUCCAUCUCCGGGGGCGGGUAAUGGGGGUUGUCUGCACAGAGUUUUGUGAUGUGAACCAUCUAUAGGUCUCUGUUGUGGACAGAGACCAUGCCUGUUCCGGUGGAGGUGGCAGGGGGCAGGGAGGUGCAAUGGACUUUGUGAAAGUUCUUAGCUUUGGUGAUUUAAUGCUCUAUUUUUGUGCUGGUUGGUCUCCUGCCAGGAGGUGGCACUUUCCAGAAAGCAUCAACUGUAGUAAUAAGGGGAGGAACUGCAGUGGGCGGGGCCCUAGAACUCCCAAGAUUAUAUGCCCUUUGUCUUCCGCUAGCAGGUCAGGUAGGGAAGGACCAUCAGGUAGGGAUGGGGCUUGGCAUGUCUGAGCUGAGACUCUCCUUGGGCAGGUCUUGCUGGGGCUGCUGUGGGGGGUGGAGGUGAGAUUCACAGGUCACUGGAGUUGUGUACCUAGGAGUAUUAUGGCUGCCUCUGCUGAGACAUGCAGGUUGUCAGGGAAGUGGGGGAAAGCCGGCAGUCACAGGCCUCACCCAGCUCCCACACAAACCGAAGGGUCGGUCUCACUCCCACUGUGUCCCCCUGCAACAGCCCCCAGACAGUUUCCAGGCGGAAAGCAUAAGGGCUUGAAAACCUGCCCCAGGCUACCCACCUCCCAGCUGCCAAAGAAAGGGCUAGGUUCUUCCCCAGCCUGUGAAGUCUGCACACCAGAUUUGCACCCUCCCCCGAGUUCUGGCCAGGAGGCUUCUCACCCCGUUCAAAUUGUUACGGGGUUCAGCUGAGAUUUCCUUCUCCCUGUGGAGUUUUACCACCUGCUCCUCCCCUGUUGGAUCCCUAUGGUGCCAGGCAGGCAUGGGCUGCUCGGGGACCAGAGAGCUCCCAGGGCCUUCCUGCUGCUUCGUCUACCCCUGUAUUUUGCUUGGCUCUACAAAUUGACUCAGCUCCAGUGGCAAAAGUGGAGACCAGUGCAUUGCUAUUCUACAUGUAAUGGUUCUGAGCUUAUUUCUUCUGGGGCAAUUGGAGCAGAUGGACCAUUUAAGCCCUUGAAGCUUAUGAUGUAUUCGUGGAGCACCUGAACUGUCAUUUCAAAGAAUACAUCACCAUUUUAUUGAGGACAAUAAUACGAAAUGUGAUAGAUUGCCUGGUUAAAUCUCAAACCACUUCAUCUGGUUACUUUGGGAUUUUCCUUUUUUCCAGGAAAAAAGAUUAUGGAGGUAUAAUUGACAAAAGUUGUGUAUAUUUUAGGUGUACAUAUGAUGUUUUGCUAUAUUUAUAUGUGGUAAAAUGUUUACCAAAAUCAAGUUAUUUAAGAUCUACUCUUUUAGCAAAUCUCAACUAUACAUUAUUAAUUAUAGUCAUCAUACUAUACAUUGGGUCUCCAGAAUUUAUUUUUUCCAUAAUUGAAAGUUUGUACCCUUUGGCCAGCAUCUCUUCACUGUGGCAUUUUAUAAAUCAGAUUUUUCAAUUAUAUUUUCCAGAAGGGCACUGAUAAAGGAGGACGUCUAACACAUCCUCAUGGAUAUAUUGAGAUAAUGCUUACUUCCACAAGAACACGUAUGUAACUCCAAAUCCAAUGUGAUUGAGACAAUGGGUGAUAUUAUAAGGAUAGUCUUUUUUUUAAAAAAAAAUACUUUCCAUGAACCUUAGUACCAUGUUAUUCAUAAUAAAUCAUCUUUGUCAUAUCACUGCUGAUCAUGACACAUUAGAUUCUGGCUGCAUCCCCAUGGGGAAUGCUGCUGCUAUAAACCAUGCAAGAACCUAGGAAUACAACAAUUAUAACCUAAGAGGUGAAAAGAUGAACAAUAGUGUGUGAAAAACAUCAAGAUGAGAGAGACAGACUAAAAUAUUUAGCCAUCAAUGAUCUGAUGUGGCAUCACAUGAAGAUGUGCUUCUAAGUGCAAAUGAAUAGCCCAUGAACUGGACUCAUGAAAAUUACCUAUGCCAAGAAAAAAAUCAUCAUUUACUAAUAAAUGUAUCACAACUGUCAUUCCAAUGAAUAUUCAUCACACACACACGCACACAUUUAGAAGCUGCUGAACUCAAAUAACUGGACUUGGCUAUUUUUCCCUAUUUCGUUCAGACACUAUACAGUUCAUCACCAGGGCAGUGCAAGAAAUGAUUACCACCUUCAUUAUGCAACCUCUGUAUUCAUUGGCAAAGGAAAAAAGUUAAUAGUAUUCAUGUGAUUGUCAACGAUGUAUACUUCGUUGUUAGAGAAAGAUAAGAGUUUAAAACAAUUUUUUAUCUCUAUGUUUAUCUUCUACAUUGUCAUGUAAAACCAAAAAUCUGAGAUUUGAAUACUUCACAAGACUAGCCAUAAGCUUUCUGUUUGCUGGUUUGUAUCUUUUCUUGCUUUCAAUUUUAACGCAGUCAAAACCCUAAGGGAUUAGUUCUCAUCUCUUAAGAAUGACUGUUUAGCAUAUAAUUUAUUACCACCUUCGGUAUGCAUAAACUCCCUAUUUUAUUUAAAGAUACCAGGUGCAAUAUUACCAUGGAUCUAAACUGGAAAUCAGACUCCCAAAUGAGAUAUGUUUUCCUUAGUGGUUGUGUAAAAUUCCCAUUAUGCUAAUAGUACUUCAGAGUGCAUGUUAAGAAAGAAUAUAGCCCUAAGUGUCUAUUUAUGAAAGCUUCUCUUUGAAAAGGAAAGUCUUUUAAAAUGAUACUCAUUUUUAGUACAUGAAAAGUAUUAGACAUUCUCGUGAUUGGUUAAUUGUACCAUGAUUUUCACAAAAUAGUUAAAUCCCAUUUACUUCUGGAAAUCUGGAUUAUAUAAAACUCUCAUUAUUCUGGUGGUGCUACACUAUUGGCUACACAUUGUUUAUAUGUUCAUUCCUUAGGCAUCCUGAAUAAUUUUUGUUAUAUUUCAACAUUUGAGACAUUUGGGAUCCACAGCAGUUUUUUAAAAAGUGUUUUAACUACAUGUCUUGCCCUUUUUCUUGUCUCAAUUUAAGUUUCUUUUUAAAUUGAGAAAUGUAUUUAUUUGAUGAAAUGAGCUAAAAGCAUAUUUUAAUAAUUUUCAAUUACUCCAUAAGGGUAACAUCUGGCUGUUUACAUCAAAAGGCAAAAUAUGGUAUUCAUAAGAGUUUAUAAAUAAUAUAUAUAUAUUAGAUCAGAUGAAUGCUCUAUGAAGUUUUUACUCUGCCACCUACAGUGAAUAUAUAAACUUAAAAGAUUAAUUGAAUAUUCUCUAACCAUGAAUAAGCAAAUUCCCAUUACUUAAUACUACAAUAUAGAUUUCCAAAGUAAUUAACACUUUGCAUUUCUGUUCCGUGAAAUUCUGUCUGUAGCAUAUUAAGUAUACUUUUGUACUGAAAGGAGUUUCUUCAUGACCAAAAAUACUCUUCAGGGGCAAAGUAAGAAUUUUGUACACUAAACCGUCACCAAAUGAUUCUAUAGGGUCUAACACAAUCACUUUGUUUUCUAAGUAUUGCUACCUUAUUUCUGGAAAUGCUUUACCCCUCUGGGAGACACAGUCUAACCAGUUUGAUUAAAGUCAUUUGGAACAAUGUCCUUCUUUAUCCUCUUUCCUUUUACUGUAUUUGUGUGAAAAUCUAUUACGGACACUCCAUUGUGCAGGUAUAGUAAUUAAAACCAGGUGGAAAGUUGGUAUAUAUUUGUAUCUUUUCAGUAAUUGCAAUAGACUCAAAUAUUUCUAAUUGAAACGACUGGAUUCCUCCUCCAAUUAUUGUCUCCACAGAAUUACAUGAAACUCUUACCAUGACACUCUGCCCAGGCCUGUUCCUCAUCAUUAUCUUGUUCCCUCCUACUAAUGGGACACUUUUACCAAAUUUUGGCUGACCUCAUUCAGGUGGAAAGGAGAAGAAUUUAUUAAAUCAAUUUUUAUAUAUAACAGCACAGGAUUUCCUUCCCUUUCACCAACUCUCCCACUCCUCUCUCUCCCCCAUAUAGAAUGUGAACAAGAAAUAUUUGUUGAAUGCAGACUCCCUGCAAACUAUUUUUUUCUUUUUGAUCAAAAUGAAUAAUUCAUUAGACUAAUAAGAAACACACACACACAAUUUAUUACCAUUCAUCAGACGUCUGUUUUAGGGUCUCCUCUGACAUUAUGAAACUUGCUUAGUUUCCCCAUCUGUAAGAUGGAGAUAACAAUAACAUCAACCUCACAUAUUGUUGUAGGCAUUAAAUAAGUUACUACCUUAUUCUAAGUACCUGGCACACAUUACUCACUUUAUACAUGAUAACAAUUAUUAUGAUUAUUAUGGUCAAUUGUUCUUUCGGGGAUAACAUGAUCAAUGACUGUGUAGAUCUCAUGUUACCAGAGAUACAAACCCUGAAAAGGAGUAGAUUCUAUUCUAAAGUUGAACUACUUGUCCUUCUGGGAAGCAUGCAUUCUUCAUUAGGUCCUUGACAGAUACAAGCACAGGUAUCUAAGAAUAAUUAUACUCUCCCAGCAGAAGAUGGGAAAAUGGAAAACCACAGAGACCAAGAGUAACAAGGGCAGAAGCACAAUUAGGCAACAUGUUGCUGCUUGGGCUCUGACCUCCCAGCACCUAUUUCUCAAUCAGAUUUUUGUUUUGUUUGUUUUGUGGAUUUUAAAACUGCGAUAGGAAACACAUAACAAAAUUUACCAUCUUGACCAUUUUUAAGUGCACACUUUGAUAGUGUUAACUAUAUUCCCAUUGUUGUGCAACAAAUCUCCAGAAAUUUUUCAUCUUGCACAUUGAAACUCUGUACCCAUUUAACAAAACCUUUCCAUUUCACACCUCUCCCCAUCCCCUGGUAACCACCAUGCUACCUUCUGUUUCUAUAAAUUUGACUACUUUAGACACCUCAUAUAAGUGAAAUCAUACAAUAUUUGUCUUUUCAUGACUGGCUUAAUUCACUAUAAUGUCCUUAAGGUUCAUCCGUACUGUAGCAUGUGACAAGAUUCCCUUCCGUUUUAAGAAUUAAUAGUAUUUCAUUGUAUAUAUAUAUAUACCACAUUUUCUUUAUCCAUUCACCUGCCAAUAAGCAUUUAGCUUGUUUCCACCUUUGGCUAUUGUGAAUAACACUGCAAUAAACAUAGGAGUGCAAAAAUAUCUUUGAGAUCCUGCUUUUAAUCCUUUUGGAAAUAUACCCAGAAGUGGGACUGCUGAGUCAUAUGGUAGUUCUAUUUUCGCUUUUUUGAGAAACUGUCAUGCUGAUUUUCAUAGCAAUUGCACUAUUUUACAAUCCAAUCAACGUUGUACAAGAGUUCCAGUUUCUCCACAUCCUCCCUAACACUUGUUAUUUUUUUUUUUUUUUGAUAGUAGCCAUUUUGAUGGGUAGGGAGUGAUAUCUCACUGUAGUUUUGAUUUGCAUUUUUCUAAUGACUAGUGAUGUUGAGCUUAUUUUCAUAAGUUUGUUGGCUAUUUAAAUAUCAUCUUUGGAGUAAUGUUUAUUUAAGUCCUUUGCCAAUUUUUUAAUUGGAUUAUUUGUGAAUAUUUUCUUGUCAUUUUUCGGUUACAGGAAGUUUUUAAAAAUAAAUUCUCAAUAUGAACUACUAAUGAGAAAUAUGAUUUGCAAAUAUUUCUCCCAUUCUGUAGGUUGACGUUUUACUGUAUUGACAAUGCUCCUUGGUGCACAGAAGUUUUUAAGUCUGAUAUAGUCCAAGUUGUCUAUUUUUGUUUUGUUGCCUAUACUUUUGAUGUAAUGUCUAAGAAAUCACUGCCAAAUUCAAAUUUAUGAAGUUUUGUCAUCAUGAUUUCUUCUAGGAGUUUUAUAGUUUGGUUUUUAUUUAGGUCCUUAAUUUAUUUUGAGUUAAUUUUUGAAUGUGGUGUAAAAAUCUAACUUUUACAUGAGGAUAUCCAGUUUUCCCAACACUAUUUGUUGAAGAGACUGUCCUUUCCCCAUUGAGUGAACUUGGAACCCUUGUCUGGCUUUUUAUUCUAUUCCAGUGGACUAUAUAUCUAUCUUUAUACCAGUACUACAAUGUUUUGAUUACUAUAGUUUUGUAAUAUGUUUUGAAAACAAGAAGUAUCACACUUCCGAUUUUUUUGAUCUUUCAAUAUUGUUCAGACUAUUCUGGGUCUCUUAAAAUUUCACAUUUUUUUAUAGGUUUUUCUAUUUCUGAAAAAGAAAUAUUGCUGGGAUUUUGAUACAGACUGUGGUUGAAUCUGUAGGUCACUUUGGACAAUAUGGUCAUCUUAACAAUAUUAAGUCUUCUAAUCCAUGAACAUAGAAUGCCUUGCCAUUUAUUUGUAUCUGCUUUUAUUUCUUUCAGGAAUAUUUUGUAGUUGUCAGUGUGCAAAUUUUUCACCUCCUUGGUUAUGUUUAUUCCUAAGUAUUUUAUUUUUUGGUGCUGUCACAAAUGGAAUUGUUUUCUUAAUUUUCUCUAUGGAUUGUUUAUUGUUACCAUAAGAAAUGCAACUGAUUUUUGUGUUUUGAUUUUGUAUCUUGCAACCUUGCUAAAUUUGUUUAAUAGUUCUGACAGUUUUUUAUGCAUGUUUUCUAAGGUUUUCUAAGAUUAUGUAAUCUGUGAACAGAGAUAAUUUUAAUGCUUAUUUUCAAAUUUGAAUGUCUUUUAUUUCCUUUUCUUCCUAACUAUUCUGGCUAGUGCUUUCAGUUCUAUAUCUAAUAUACAUGCAGCUUUCUUGUCAUGUCUUUAAUCUUAAAGGAAAACCUUUCAGUCUUUUACCAUUGAGUAUAUUAACUGUGGGUUUUCAUAUAUGGACUUUAUUAUGUUGAGAUAGUUUCCUUCUAUUCCUAGUUUGUGUUUUUAACAUUAUAAAGGUGCUGAAUCUUGUCAAAUACUUUUUCUGUAUCAAUUGAGAUAAUUAAGUAGCUUUUGUUAUUCAUUCUGUAAAUGUGAUGUAUUACAUUGAUCAAUUUUUGUGUGUUGACUCUUCCUUGCAUUUCAGGAAUAAAUCCCGCUUUGUCAUGGUUUAUAAUCCUAUUCAUGUGCUGUAGAAUUUGGUUUACUGGUGUUUUGGUGAGGAUUUUUGCAUCAAUAUUUAUAAGAGAUUUUCAUCAGUAAUUUUAUUUUUUUAUGUCAUUGGUAUCAGGGUAAAGAUGGUGUCAUAGAAUUAUUUGGGAAGUGUUCUCUUCAAUUUUUAAAAAGAUUUUAAAGAAGAUUAUUACUGACUCUUCAUUAAAUGUUGGGGAAAAUUCUUCGAUGAAACCAUCUGGUUCUGGCUUUUCUUUCUUGGGAGGUUUGUUUCAGUGCCAUCAGUAAUGAUGUCUCUCUUUCAUUUUUGAUUUUAUAUGUUUGACUCUUCUCUCUUUUUUUCUUAGUUAAUGUAACUAAGGAUGUCAAUUUUGUUGAUCAUCUCAAAAAUUAACAUUCCAUUUCAUUGUUUAUUUUUGUUUUUCAAUUCUCUAUUUCAUUUAUCUCUAUUGUAAUCUUUACUAUUUCUUUAUGCUAACUUCAGAUUUAGUUUGCUGCUUUUCUAGUUCCUUGAAGUGUGAAGACGGGUUGUUGAUUUUAAAUAUUUCUCUUUUUUAAUAGCAACAUUUACAGCUAUAAAUUUCCCUCUUCACACUGCUUUUACUGCAUUACCUAAGUUUUGCUAUGUUGUGUUUUUAUUUUCCUUUUUCUCAAGGCAUUUUGUAAUUUCUCUUUGAUUUCUUCUUUCACCCAUUGAAUACUUAAGAUGAUGUCAUGUUGCUUAACUUUCAUGUAUUUGUAGAUUUUCCAGUUUUUCUUCUGCCACUGAUUUCUAGUUUCAUUCUAUCAUAAUCAAAAAAAUACUUUGUAUAAUUUCUAUAUUUUUAAAUUUGCUAAAAUGUCCUUGUGGCCCAAUGUGUAGUCUAUGCUGAAGGAUGUUCCCUGUACACAUGAGAAGAAUGCAUAUUCUGCCAUUGUUGAUGGAGUGUGCUCUUUGUGUCUGGUAAGGAACUGCAAGUGAUCAAUAUUGCUGGAGCAAAAGGAAGAGAGAGAAGGCUGAAGAGACUGGUACAAGAUAGAUCACGGAAGAACAGGAUGAAUGUAAGAUGAGCCUGAAGAAAAUAAAGACCUGAUGGCGAGCUGGGGUUGGUCUACGAAGGCUUUAUAAUAACCUUUGAUUUCUUGAAGAAAAAAAAGAAAAUUGUGAUGGCUUGAUGUUGACAAAAGUUGGAAAAUAAACUUAUUUAUGCACUUGGCAACAUGUACUCUGCAAUUCUGCUGCCAGGUCCUGCCUGUUCAGAAAGGCUUGCUUUUAGGAUACAAAUUGCUACAAUCAAAGCCACUGAUGAGACAACUUCAACUCACCCCUUCCACGUUUUCCACAAUUAAAAUCAUGGAAACAUACGAAACUCUCUCAUUUCACUAUUUGCGCAGGCUGUUCAUCUUUCCUUCUUUAACUUCUUUGCUCCCUUUCCAGACAAUAUCUUUUACUUGCAUUGUACUUUUAGAACACUGUUUCUGACAUGAAUAACCUCCUUACAUUUCCCUUGAGGUAACAUUCCCUGGAAAAAAUACAGAAAGGGGCAAAGGCAUCUUGUCCAAAGGAAGUAUGGAAAGCCUCUUCCCGUUACCACCACAAUCCUCUACAUUACGUGCAAGGAGUCAGAGAAGGACAUAGUGGUAACAAAUUGAGUCAGUAUUUCCUCUGCCCUCCUGCCAGCUCAGAGUUCUGUAUGCUUUCAGAGCUGAUAUAUGGAGGAACAACACAAGGUUAACUUUUUUCAGUAAAGAGUUUUGUUGUAUAAUAAUUUCUACUUAAACUAUAAUUUUUGACAAUUAUCGUCAAAAUUGCUCAUUUAACAUAAAAUGUUUAGUGCCGACUGGUUUUAUAAAGGUUAUUAUAAAGCUUCAGUUAUCAGUGCAUAUGCCUUCUCAGCUACACUGUGAGAAUUUUAAAGAGACAUAGCUACAAAUAUAGACUUCAUCAUGGACAGAGAGAGCACCAUAUAUUUUCAGAGUCUAGCACAGUGCUUUGAACACAUUAGAUGCUUGUUUCUCAUUUAGGAAUUGGUUGUUGAUUUCAGAGAAGUAACAUGCUACUUAGGUUAUGCCUGUGACAUUGGACAAAGAAGCACAAAAUCUAGGCAUUUUUCCCAGCUCUCCAUGUAAUUAAAUGUCAAUUCCUAAGGAAGUCACUUCACAGCUCUUGCCUUGGUUCUCUCAUUUAUACAAUUAAUAAUAAUAAAAAAGAAACACCUAAUUCAGCAUUAAUACAUUUUCCACAAUAAUUGAAAUUUUAUAAUUCCAUAAUUCCAUAAUAGUUCAAAAUAACAACUAUUCGCAUGUUGAUUUGGCUUUCCACUGGCAAAUAGUGUUUAGCACAGGGACUAAUUUUCCUACUGAACUGACUCUGCUUUCUUUUAACUUUUUAUUUCAAAGUAAUUUUAGAUUUGCAAAAGUGUUGCAAAGAUGAUACAGAAAGAUCCUAUCCACCCUUCACCCAGCUUCCCUUAAUAUUGGCAUCUUGCACAAACAUAGUAGAAUUACCACUAACUAAACUAUAGAAUUUAUUCAGAUUUUAUUUGUUUUUCUACUAGUGCCCUUUUUCUUCUCUGAGGUCCAAUCUAGGAUCCCAUAUUACAUUUGGUUGUCAUUUUCCCCUCCCUGAUUGGGUCUUUUGGCUGUUGGGAAGGGAUGCUUGCAGAUGCUACUUGUUUUGAAACAAUCUCACCGUUGCACAUGAAGAAAGCAUCAACUGGUUCUUUUCCCCAUUAACAAUACUGUUAUUUGUACCUUUCAGCUCGUUGCUUUUCUGCAAAGAGUUCAUCUUUUUUAUUUUCUUUUCCAACUUUUAUUUUGGAAUCAGGACGUACAUGUGCAGGUUUGUUACAAAGGUAUAUUGUGUGGUGCUGGGGUUUGGAGUAUGACUGAGCCUGUCACACAGGUAGUGGGCAUAAUACCCGAUGGGUAGUUUCUCAGCCCUUCCCCCCUCCCUCUCUCACACCCUUUAGUAGUCCCCAGUGUCUAUUAUUCCCAUCUUUAAGUCCAUUAGUACUCAAUGUUUAGCUCCCAUUUAUAAAUAAGAGCAUGCAGCGUUUGGUUUUCUUUUUUUACAUUCAUUCACUUAGGAUAAUGACCUCCAGCUAUAUCCAUAUUGCCGCAAAUGACAUGAUUUUAUUCUUAUUUAUGGCUACAUAGUAUUCCAUGGUGUACAUGUACCACAUUUUUUUAAUUCAUUCCACUGUUGAUGGGCAACUGGGUUGAUUCCACGUUUUUGCUAUUGUGAAUAGUGCUGCAGUGAACAUACAGGUGCAUGUUUCCUUUUGGUACAGCAAUUUAUUUUCCAGACAUCCAGACCUAUCUAGUAAUGGAAUUGCUGGUUUGAAUGGCAGUUCAACUCUCACUUCUUUCCAAACUCUCCAAACUGCCCCCUCCACAGUGGCUGGACUAAUUUACAUUGCAACAGAGUAUCAGUUCACCCUUUUCUCCACAGCCUUGCCAACAUCUGUUAUUUUUUGACUCUUUAUCAAAAGCCAUUCUGACUGGUGUGAGAUAGUAUCUCAUUGCGGUUUUGAUUUGCAUUUCUCUGAUGAUAGAACGACAGAGUCUGUCUUAAAUCUCACCCAGCAUUCUCAAGAUUUCAGAAGGAGAAGCUGUUUCUACACCCCGGCAAAGGCAUCUACUGACAUCAAGAUACGAUUCUACUGUUCCUCAGCUAUAUUUGGGAAAAUGUUUUUUUGGUCUGUUUUAGCAAGUGACUAUAAAAGCUUUUCAUGAUAUUAUGCCAUAAUUAAAUAACUGGUUUUCAUUAAUAUAUUAUACUAGAAAUGCUAUAGGCAUCCUAUAAUUACAUGUAAGACUUCGCUAGUAUUAGCUCAACUAUGUUGUCUUUGCAGUGUAUAGGAAAAUUACAAGAUACAUAAAAUGUGUGUUGUGAGUCAUCUUGGCAUUAUUGGUAAAAUGUUCUAUUUAUUCAAAAGCAAAAGGCAGAUGUAGUUUUUUUUUUUUUUUUUUUAAUUUCUGUUGGAGCCAUUAAAGAAGCCUAGUCUCUAUUUUUUUAGUUUUCUUUUGCCUCUUUUUUCUUAAAUUUUUAUGUCUUUCUUUUUCUUUUCCCCUUGCCUUUUACAUUUUCUGUCUUUGUUCUUUCUGUUGAUGCCAUUGAUUUCUUCCCCAGCAAUCAUUCUUCAAGGAGUCUUUUGACAUGGCUCCAGUUUGGGUAGAUAAACUUCAAAGAAUGAUUAUCAUUGAACUUUGUCAUCUGUUGAAUGAAUAAAUGAAAGAAGAAUAGUAUCAAAUAGAAAAUCAUGUUUCAUAAUUUUGAAUGGAGCUCUUGAAUGCUCUCAUCUCCUGUUCAAUUUCUCCUUUAUAAUCUAUUCUGUCCUGGAAAAAAAAAAAUAUUUCCAGGGUGAGAAGGAAAGUCUUUAAAAAUACACCUACUCUUCCCUUCACGGCCAAAUGUUUAAUCUCUUACUAUCCUUCAGGAAUUUCCAGUUGUAUCUCCACUGUUUUAUUCAAAUGCAAAACACUCAGACCCAAACAGAUCUUGUUUCUCUAUACCCCAAUGUGUCCAUCUUACUUUCUCUUUGGAUAUCAGCAAUGCUGUCAUAGUCUUGGUACUCUAAGCUCGAAGCUUCUGAAUUAGCCUUUACUCCUCCAGGUAAUGGGAAGGAUAGCUAUUGAGUCCGACCAAUCUCCUAUGAAUUAUCUCUGGAGUCUGCCUCUUUUUCCUUCAUUUCUAUCAUUGCCCAGUCCAUGCUCAUCUCCAGACAUCUAGACCCUUGCAAUAACUGCAUAAGUUCUUCCUGCCUCUGUUUUCUGCCUUAUGCCUGCACCCCUCUGCCUGAAUUGUCUUGUUAAAUUCCUCCUUUCAUCCUGUUAUUUCCCUGCUCAAAAGCUCUCAUUACUCUUCAGAAACCUUAGCACAACAGUCAUUUAUAGGGACAAUUGUUAUAGAAUUCAAGGGGUAUCCUGCCAAUUAAACAAAUGGUCCAUUUCUCUGACCUAGUUUCUCCUUUUUCUUUUUUUCUUUUUUGAGAUGAAGUCCAGCUCUGUCACCCAGCCUGGAGUGCUGGGUGGAGCGAUCUCGGCUCACCACAACCUCCAAGCAAUUCUCCUGUUUCAGCCUCUCCAAUAGCUGGGACUACAGGCACCCACCACCAUGCCUGGCUAACUUUUUUUGUAUUUUUAGUAGAGACAGGGUUUUGCCAUGUUGGCCAGGCUGGUCUUGAGCUCCUGAUUUCAAGUGUUCUGCCCACCUCAGCCUCCCAAAGUGCUGGGAUUACAGGCAUGACCCACUGCGCCCGGUUGUCUCUUUCAAACUCAGCCUGUUCUCUACAGCAGAUCAUAGCUUAUCCUACCUAUUCAUGCUCCUGUGUCUCCUCCCAGCAUCCAGCAGGUAUCAAGGAGAUGUAAGUUGUCAUCUUUUUGGAUGCUCUUUAACUUUUCUGUCCCCAAAAGUUGAACAGGGAACUUUUUUUUUUCAAAGUUGAACUUAGUGCCUUCACAGAAAAAUGAUGAGUAACAAAAUUAGAAUUAGGUCUAAGAAUACCUAGCACUGUUUUAUAGUUCCUGGUGUUUCUUCUCACGUCUCAGCUCCCCAGAAUGUAUAUAGUGUAGAUUUUCCUCUGUGGUGUACUGGUGGUCAUGAGCAAGGAGAACUUAAGAGCACUCAUACUUUUGAGUGACACAUGCACCCCAAGGGAAUUCCAGAUAAACGACUUCAGGUAUAAUGUUAUCCCUUUCCUCCUGGCUGUUAUACAUGGGAAAGUCCCUUUUUGUUAUUUGCUAACAGUACUCUAACUUCAAAUUACCUUUGCAAUCCUGCCUGCCCAUAAUCCAAAUCCAAUCCUCAAGUAUAUAUUUCCUUCUACAAUGCCAGCCUCCUCACAUUCCCCCCUGGUACAAUGCUCAUGACUAUUUCUCCGUUUUUACUUUCUGCUUGGAAUGGCCUCAUGCCUCUUUGCAGCCUAGCUCAUGCCUCGUCAUAGUUCAAGUCUCAGUUCCUGUCCCCAUCUCCUCUAUGAAACCUUCUCCACCAUACUAUCCCAUGACAGUCUACUUAUAAAUCCUACAGCUCUUAUUGUAUAUACCAUUUAUAUGCUGCCAAUGCCACUGCACUAUAAUUUAUAUGUACCAAUAGGUUUUUUAAAAAUUCAUAUCUUAUUGCCAAAAAAUACUGUAAAAUCUAAAGGACUGAUCAUCUAAGUGAAUAUUUUUCAAUCCCUUGGUUUAGUUUAGGCAAAGGCAUCUGUAAGGGGAGUGGAAUUGGGGGAUUCUAAAUUUUUUUCAGAGACUUAGAAUCCGUUAAAAAAUCAAGAAUUCCCUGAAGACUAACUUGUAUAUGUCUUACAAAUGUACAUACUGAGAAUUGUAUAUACAUAUGAUGAUUUUAUAUGUGUGAAUGGUAUGAUUAAUAAAAUAAUA
rnacentral:lncRNA from 1 species